rfam:Candidatus Desantisbacteria bacterium CG1_02_38_46 cg1_0.2_scaffold_4184_c, whole genome shotgun sequence.
UGAAAGGUGUCAAUCAUCGUAAUUGUCUGUUAGCGAUGUAGUCUGAGAUGCAAUAUGUGGAGAAAUCUGCAGUGUUGUAGCUAUUUGACAAAUUCCGCUUUAGGCGGGAGAGGCAAACAAGCAGACCGUAACAAAA